GUUGCAGGCUAUCGUGUGUUAACCUGUACUUCUGCCGCAGAGUUUGGAGAAAGCGGCAGCAGAUUGUGCUGCCGCAGGCUGGAGCCUGGAACCUGGAGCCCUGGAGCCUUGAAUGGUGUGUGGUGGCAAUGGAGAGAGGCAGCUGGCAGUGACAGCUGCUCCGUGCUUGGCUACAGGAAGGAAAGAAGGAGAAAGCACCUACCAUAGGCUGGAGGCUAGAGCCUGCAGGACUGCGGCUGGCCUCGCUGGCUCGCCUCCCUGGCUGGCCUCGCUGUGGUUGGUGGCAGCGACGGAUACUGCAGCUGGCCAGAGUGUAGAAAGGCAAUGGGGAGCGCAGUCCUGGUGGGCCCAGCGGUUCCUGUGGAUUGGAGCCAGGCAGUGUGAUGUUACCAGUCACCACUCCAGGUCCCAGUUCCUGGCCCGCUUGAGCCAAAAGGAGAGGCUGGACUUUGGAGGGUGGAUAUGAGUGCCUUCACUGAGACUGGCCCCUGCCACCCAGUGGCCAGGAUGACAAGGCAGAGGAGAAUGACCCUGUGGCCACCACCAUCACAGGCCUAUGGGGCACCUCAAACUCAACUCCAAAAUUGAUCUAAUGAACUUUCCCAAACCACAUUCCCUUCUUGCAUUUCUGAGAGAAUGGAUUCCCAUUCAUCUGACUACAGUGCUACCCUGAAAGCAGAUCCAGAGACUAAGAUUCACCUGCAGGUGAUUCAUUUGCAAGGUAAGCUGUCAUCAGUUGGAGGUAAGCAGAAGACAGUAGAGAGUACAGAGCCCUGGACUGUGACUCAGAGGAUGAGCACCAGAUCCAGUUUGCUGUGCCACAGUGGUAAGUCACCUAACCUUUAUGUGCUUGGAUUCCUCAUAUGUAAUACAGGAUCACAACUAUUGUUCUCACUCAUGCAAUACUACUAUUGUGAGAACCUCAUGAAUUAGAGAAACUCUGAAUUUGCAAUUUAGCUUUAGAACACUGACAAGUAGCUCAUUGAUUCUUGCCUCAUUCCUCUGGAAUAAAGUAGCUUUUUAUCAAACAAGUGAACACAUUGCUUUCAGUGGAGGCAGAAGGAAUUCAUUUUGAAAAAUGCACAUAGCAUUCUCCAACCCAUUUUUGCAUAUUCUUUUUUAAGGGAAUGCCUUGUGUGAGAGGACUAGCAGGGUAUCAGAACUGUUUUUUGAAAGAACUUUGUUUGCAGGUGCUUUCAAAUAUGUUGUCUUCAACUAUCAUUUUCAGUGUAAAAAGCGGGCUUGGAGUAAGCACUGCCUGCAGACCACUUUUGUGAGCCCUCCUUUCAGUGAUGUGAUGGCAAUCCAGGCCCCUGCUGGGAGAGAUUUCUGCCUGGUUAAACCUCUCACAGCUUCUAAUCCUCUCUUUCUCAUCUGGCUUUCCUUAGCCUUCUCCAAAGUCACUCACAGAAGGCAUCCCACUCAACCUCACCUUGGGGUAAAUCAAAAUAGUCCUCCUUCUGAAGCUACCGGGUAAAACGGUGGUAGCUGUGCAGCUGCUGCUGAUCAACAGGCUCCAGAAACAGCAGCAGGAGGUGAGCAGUCCCUGCGUUGGCCACCAAGUGGUAGGUGGCCAGCCCUACCUCCAAGUUGCACUGUUUACUUAUUCAUCUUUCAUGGUAAAGCCUCCAGUUGCCUAUUAUGAAAUCAGCAAUAAUCAUGUGUCCCCUGUCUGGGUCCCUGAAAAGAUGGAAAGAGGCAGAUCAGGCUGGUGCUCUGAGAAUGACAGACAUCAAACAAGAAUGAAAAGUGUCACCCUCCUUGGACUUAUUCAGUAACUCAUGCCCUUGAGCAAAGGAGGAUUUUCUAUCAAAGGACAUGGAUUUCUGUGUCUUUCUCUUGAGAUAACAUUGCUGGGUGACCACAGAAAGCUGGCUCUGGAAGCACAGAAGCUGCCUUUCCUUGAGUAAUAAUGUCUCUUCAAAGGGAGCUGGAGCAUGAGUAGUGUACAUGCCUCAGAUUUCAGUGAAAAGUUCAGAGGAGGCCUGAGAAGAAGGUCCUGGGAAUGAAUCAUCUAGAUGACUCAACCUUGCAAAGCCAUCCACCUCAUUGUGGAUAUCAUUCAAUACAUUUGGUGCUCCAUCAUCCUAUUUCCAUGGCUAUUUCCUCACAUUUUUCAAAGUCUGUUUCUUGAGCCCUGACUGUGUCAAAUAGCAUGCCCUGUUAUUCUUGGGCUUCCCUCUCUGUUCUAGUAUUCAGGGAGAUUUCAGAGGCUGGGGUAAAUCUCAGACCAAGAAGACGCAAUGGUUUUGAGGUAGAGAUCCUAGGAAUAUAGAAUUCUGAGCUAUGCAGUGGUCCUUUGCUUUCAGGAAAUCAAGUUUGAUAGUAUCACCUGAAGCAUACUUACAUUAUCCACAAAUGACAGCUCCUUACUUGAGCAGUUAAAUUGUGGCAAGUCUUAACACACAGAUUCCUCUUAAAUGCCACCUAAUCCCUGCCUGGCUUCAAGCCUCUGGCUUCCCUUGGAGAGGGGCAGAGUCUCUCUGUGUGAGAGAUUCUUCAUUUCUGCUUUCUGCCCUGUCAGUUUCUACUUACUUGCUCUUCCACCUUGUCCACAAGGCUUAUCUAGCGGCUGUUUACCUCUGAGCAGAGAAAAUGGAAGUCAGCAGAGACAAGGUUGAAAUUUCUCAGGAAGGAUUUUUUUUUUCCACUUUAUCGUGCAGCAAGAGUAAAGCCUUUUUUUCGGUGAUUCUUUCCUCCACAAUGGCCAUUGGCUGCCCUCUGUCACACACAGGUGUGACUCCCUUGUUAUUAACUGUCAGGUGGGAAUUUCUAGGGAAGAAGGAGAGUGCUUUGUUAACCUCUUAACAUCUCCCCAAAUUGCAUCAUAUUCUCUCCCUUUCCCCUCCCAGUUACCUUUUCUAUUUUUGAUUUCCCCUUUUUCAGUCUGAUUUGGGGAUUUCAGUUCCCACUAACUUUGUAUAAUAUCCUCCUAUCUCUGAAAGAACAAGUUCCAUCUCCAUUUUCCAGGAGAGUUUUUUUCCUUGCAGUAAGAGCACCCCAUCAUCUCUCCAUUUCUACCUCCCCAUCCCAGUGCUCCCUUUAUGGCAGUACAAUUGAAGAGGGACCCACAGUCUUGCUGAAGGAACAUGACCUUCCUACUGAAGUUGGGAUUACGGAAUAGAGGGAGAAGAGGAAAGAUGGAUGUUUAUCUGAAUGGUCGGAUCUUGUUUUCCAGAGGACACAGGCCAAUGGGAAACUUUUGGGAAGGAAGUCAAAAAAUCAAAGCCAGAACUGGGUUUUGGUAAUUUAAUCUCCCAAAGAGAGAAAAGUCCCCAUACUCUAAUUCAUAUUUUGUUUGACUUGACUGAAGCCCUUUUGAAUAUUUUUUCUGCUUCUGUUCUGUUCUUGCAAUAACAAUGACAUAAGUUUGCCUUUGGAGACAUUAAAAUAGUUUUCUCAAAAAAAAAAAAAAAA
rnacentral:lncRNA from 1 species